UUGAGUCUAGUUAGUGUUUUAAACUUUGUUUUCACGUUUUCAAGUCAGUUUCCAAGUGAUUUAGCAAUCCCUCAUAAUCCCCGGCCUAGAACGAUCCCUACUUACAUACUUUACUACAAUUGAUAAAAAGAGGGUUUAAUUUGUGUGUUUAGUUAUUUUACGCAUCAACAUGCAUGUAGCCUGUUCAAUUAGAUUCAUUUUAAAUAAGAACCAAACAAAAAAUGCGCCUAAAAACAAGUUAUGAAGAUUGAGAGAGCAGAGAGGAAAUGAAAUAGACCUCUAAUAGUAGUACUGCAGUUUGUAGAAGGUGCCCAGUCCUUAGUCUCUUCAAUUAGAUUAAUUUUAAAUAGGACCCGCUGCUGCUAUUUUUUCGACGUGGGACAAUCAGGUCCUAACGUUUCCCCAAUAGAAAACUCUAAAAUAUGAUUAUAUGUCAGAAUUCACAAACAAAGUCAGAGGAAACAUGAUGAUUAUUGAGCUAGUAUUGAAUAAUGGGUAUAAAAUUGAAACUUUUGGAUGGUCAGCGUUGUUUCCAGAUGAAAUUAAGCAUCCCAAAUAACCAAAACAAAUCAACUUAACAUAAAAGUAUGUAUUACCCACCUCAAAUCGGCCGGAGAACUCAUAUUGGAAUUUCUACCUUCCAAUUUUUCCGUAACCUUUUCCAUCUCAGAAUUUCUGAACAGGACAUGGAUUCUAUAACAUUAGAUAAAAUUAUCUAUACUACACAUAUGCAGAUCAAUUCCAGAUAAAUUAAGAUCAAAUCAAGGUAUGGAAUAUAUCAAUUUUGGGUUGGAAAAUCACCUUGAAAUUUCAGUGGACAGAGCCAGUGGCAGUCUUGCAAAUAAACUGAAAUGUCUUACAAAACACUGUUCAUAUGAAUAGUGUAAUUUCCCUUCCUACUUUAGACUAAAGUAAUACCACUUUGGCGAGAAAACCAGUCAAACUUCCCUCUGUCCAAAUCGCGAUUUCUCAUCGUAAUACUGCUGGUAAUGGAAGAGAACCCGAGACACCAAAUCUCGGAGGUCUUCAUCUCGGGCCUCGUCGAUCGUCUGCUGCUGGGCCGAUAAGAGCUCAUCGAGGAAGUGUUCUUACCGGACCGGCCAGCCCUCGUAGAAUGCCUCAAAUGUGUUCGAUGCAUUGCCGCUGUGAGAGCCGUUUGUCAUAACCAAAACAAAAACAGCAAAGCUUUCUGGGGCUUUAAUGGCAACGAAAAACAGAAAGGUGGGUGGGAUUAAAUAGGAGGUGGGAUUCGAAAGGUGGGGGAUUUCUUUUGGGAUUUUGGUUUUUGAUUUGCUUCGUGGGCAAGUAAUGCUAAUGGGUGAGGAUACUGCGAGAGCAAGGUUCAUGAAUUUUGUUUUUUCAGAGAGAGAGAGAGAGGAAACCAGAGGAGGUGAGGCUCAGACGGAGAGGUGUGUGCAGGUAGCCAUUAGAGAGGGAACCGCCCGGGGGGGGGUUUGGUUUGGGGCUGCCCGGAUGAUGGGGCAACACGUCUCGAGGCUGCCAAGUGGAGGGAUUGCGUGAAGCCAAGUCAUCGUUUUUGGGUUUUUUUGGAUGGGUGGGUGGGGGAGUUUAAACCCUCAGGGGGAGGGAUGUCUUUCUAAAGAGAUAGGAAUUUAUCGUAUAUUGUACAGUUAAAUUUUGUCAUGAUAUACGAUAAACUGAUAAACUGAUGUGAUUGGAGGAUUAUCGAGAUCCUCUCUAAAUAGGCAAUGUUUGCACUGGUGCAAGUUGGGGAAGUUGUUAAACGGCAAAGUACAAAAGAAGUCUGAAGAAGGGAUGUUUUAGUUGUCAGUUGCGGUUCGGUUUGAACUGGACUAUUUUGAUACGAUGGAACUCUUUUUUCAAUUGUACAUUAGGGCACGCUUACUUACUUUUCGGAUGUGAGUUAACAAUGGAUUUCAUUACCUUUUUAUUCCUUGCAUUUUAGUAAACGCAUGAUUUCAGGAGUGAAAAUUAUACUCAUACUUUCCAUUCUCGUUCUUAGUAAGUAAACAGACCACUAUUGAGUUGGAUAGCGGUUAACCAUAUUGUUCUUCCAUAUAAUAGUAUACAAUUUACUUGAGGUAGCAUUUCCGUUGCAUGAAAGACUCAUAUAAAGGGGAUAAUCUAUUCUAAGGGAGGGGGCUAAAACGACUUUUUGGAUACAACAUUAUUCUGCAUUUAAGUGGCUAGUUUAGGUCACACAAUGGGUCAACCACUUACUAGAUAUUAAACUCAACACAAAAAAUAACACGUUCUUGCUAUUAAUGUAAAUCAAACUCAGAACCUCAAACUUACAAAUGAAGAACAAUACCUAGUUAGACUAAGUUGAACUUGAUCUCAAUUUGUUUCCCAGUCCUAGUCACUAAACCAGUCACUAGCGUGUAUGAUGAUGGGAGAAAAUAAUAAAGUAGGGUGCAGGUGCAACUCCAAGCGGUUGCUGAUUGCAGUGCAGUUGAAGGGUAAGUGACAAAUUUGCCUUAACUUUUAGUGAUGAGAGAAAUUGGUUGUUGUGGAGCAAAAAAUAAUCAUAAGGCAAUAUGUGGAUCUUUGGGUUAAAAUGACAGAAUUACCCUCGAGACAUACCGGGAUGCCUACGUGCGAGAAGCAGGCAAUCAACCCUCAACCAAGUCAAAUGUACACAAAAUAGGUAAUAAUUCAAAACCUUUUCAUUCAUCCUUAUCAAAUCCUCUCCACAGUAACUUCCAAAUCAUUCCCCAUUUAUUAUAUUAAUUAGCUAAUCAAUUAAGAAAUUAUUCUAUUAAUUAGCUAAUUAAUUAAUUUAUUGUUCAAUUAUUCCCAAUUAAACACAAAUCAAGAACCUAGCCCACAAAAUGAACCAAGUGGCCGGUCAUUUCUCUCCCAAAGGGGCCGGCUACACCCCUAUAAAAACCCCAUCAUUCUCUCCAAAACGAGACUCCCAAGACUUUUGCUAAAAUUCUCUAAAAUUCCCAAACACUUUCUCUCUAAGUUCUAACUUUGGCAUUGGAGGUUAUUCGGCCAAAGCACCCCCCAUUCAUCAUGGGCGCAUAAGGCUCUUGGUCUUGACCUAAGGUGUUAUUUAUUUUGUAGGUGCAAUUUUGUCUAAGAACAAGGAGGAAGAAAUUUUCAUCCACAUCUGCCAUGAGAAAUGUUCAGUAGACAAGCUGCUUCACUGCUUGAAUUGAGAAAAUUGGUUCAUAACGUGUCCAAUUGCUGCAAGUGAUCAUCUUUUAAGAGAUCCUGGUGUUGCCAAUUGGCAUUUUUGACCAGCCAAUGAUGGUUGUGGUGGCUUCUAUGUGGCACAAAGAUAAAAAAAAAACUCAUUUAGAGGUGCAUUUCAAAUAACUAAAACCGUUUUUAGUGAAUUGGUUUUUUAACCAAAAUGGUCCCCAAUAUUUAAAAUCAAUAAAAGUAAUUCAUGUGAUUGUCAACCGGCAAUUAUGGUUUUCUGUGCAAAAUAUCAAGGAAAUUGAAGAAAUCAAUAGUUCAAGUGGAGGGGUUCGUUUAACAAAAUUACCCUCAGUUUAACGGAGAUUUUUUACGAAAUGACCAUAAUGAUUGACGAUGAGCAAUUUUAUAGACAAUUUCUAUCGAUUAUAAAUCACAGGAACCAAAGUGAGGAGUCAUGGUAUUCUCAGAGACCGUUUUAACUAAAAAACCAAACAUUUUAUCUAAAAGCGCUUUCAAUCGUUUUAAAACGAAUUUGGUUCUUCUUAUCAACUCAACAACUCAACAAGUCUCAAUUCUUUUAUGCAUGAAGUUGGAAAUCCAAUGAGGUUUGAACUUGUGUGGCGACCAACAAUAAAACUAUUUGUUAAUUAUUUAUCCUCGUUAGUAAAUUUGUGUUCUUCUCUUUGUCGUACAUGUCAGAAUGAUUCGUUGAAAUAUACAUUUAACAACUCUAAUGUACUAAAAAUGUAUUAUGCACAUACGUACAUAUUGAAAUACAUGUUUUCCAAUAAUCUCGCUCACGCAAAUGAUCUAAGUUCUUAAGAAGAGAAGUGAAUAAUAUUUUUGUAAAUUCACACUUAUAUGACUCUUCACAUUCCAUAGAGCUUGAUCGAAAUCUGAAUGGCUGGAUCAUCUAACAAAGGUUUUCAUUUGUAGACCAUAAGUUUUGAAUCGCAUAGUAAUGGGAUCUGUUCUUUUGACUACCCUAAUCUCAGGGGAACGCUACCUAGCCAAAAUCAAUAAGCGGGGUGUAUUCAAUUGAGAUUUUGAAAGAUUUUAAAGAGUAUAGCGUUGACUUACUGAGCAAUCUUUAGCAUGGAGUCCCCAAUUCAUACAUCCAUUUCACAAUUUCGGUAGAAGAUAAAAAGGUAAUGCCGAGUUCAUCUACUGAAUCUUAAAUCACAUAUGAAAUUGGAUUAACAAAGCUCCAAGAACACCGAGGAGUUCAAACAUCCAUAGAUGCAUGCCACAUACAAAGAUUACGAGUUAGAAUUAUGGAAGUCAUUAAUUCCUUAACUAGACUAGCCACAGAAUGAGAGUAGGUUGGAAACACAUCGAACGAGAAAGUACAACAGUCAAACAUACAAGCAGUAAAAGGCAAGUUUCCUAAGAAAAAUACCUGAUUGUAAUAUUGGCUAAGCCUCAAUGAUGAACAAAACAAAAUGAUUUCCCGAAGCUAAGCAAAACAUGACCUGCUAAUUAUCAUCUUUUCUUGAAACCAUACUUUUUGCGUUCAUAGAACAGAUCUGUUUUGGCACUUCCCAGAUUCACAAUUUUCGGGCAGCCAUCUCUAUCUUUCUCCUGCUGAGUACACUCUUUGCAGUAAUAAGCAUCAGAAAUUCCAACCCCUCCACAAAUAACACACCUUCCCUGGAAAGAUCCAUAGUUGCACUCAUCGCAAACCCGAACAAGCGUGCAAGGGCGCACAUAAGAGUCACAAAUUACACACUUACCGUCGCACUUUUCACACAACCUUCCAAUAGCUAUUCCAGGUUGCUUCCGACACAUAAUCAAGUCAGGAUGAUGCUUCGCCAUGUUCCUGCAACAACAUUGUAAAAUAAGCUUCUGUCCAGGGCCAAAUCACAGUAGAAACAGAAUCAAAAUGCUAAAAACUCUAUCCCCAAAUUAACUAGAAUCCUAGCCUAGCUGGCUGGCAGCCGACUUAGCUUUUGAGUGCCCCUCAGAUGCUCCUGCAUCAACUGAUAACGCUAAUGCACAUUCAAAAGUUUCGACACUCAACCAAUUUGCAAAUCUGCACACUUUUUAACAAUUUCAUUCCAAAUUGCAGGAUGUUUAUAUUCACAAAUCAUGCAACUAAUCGAUCAACUACGAAUAUUUGCAAACUCUUUUACAACUAUGCACAAAAAUAAUAAAACCCAAAAAAAUCCAAUACCCAAAAAACCCCAUAACUCCAAUACCCAAAAAACCCAAAAAAUCCAAAUUUUUUAAUUUCUAAUUACUCUUUCAACUUCUGGGUGCUUGCGAUGUUUGCCUAAUUCCCAUCACAGAAAAAAAAAUUGUGGGAAUUAAACAUGCUGUGAAAAUAGAUGAAACCAUUAAUAAAUUGAACAGAACAGGAACCCUAAAACAGGUAAUCGAAUGCGCAUUCAACUAGAAAUUUGAAUUUUAGAUGGAAAUAAUCAAAAUACAGCAGCAGUUUUCUACAUAGGCGAAAACUGGAGAGGAAGAACGAGAAGCGAAAAGAGCAAAGCUUACCGAAGAUAGCUGGAGAGGACUCGGAUGAGAGGAUGCUACUGUAAGAGGGGAUCGGCGCGAUUGGGGGUGUUGGGCUCGGCUGACUGAGAGAGAAUCGGAUAGGGGUAAUGUUUUUUUAUUUUAUUUAUUUGUACUUUUAAAGUUUCAAUUAAAAUUGUUGCUUACUAUUAUGAUCUAAUAAUAUUCAUCAUCAGUUGUUAGUUGAGAGGUUUUAGUGUGACUCUCGUUAAAAAUAAAUUUAAACCAUAUUAUUGUUAGUCAAAUGUAAGACUUAACCCACUUUUUCAAUAAUAUAAUCGUUUGUUUAAAAAAUUUCAUAUAACAAAAUUUGUUUUUCUUAUUUAUUAAUUUUAUGUUGUAAAGGCGAAUGAUCGGAUAUAAUAAUAUAAAUUUAUUUGUGGAAAACAUAAAUGAAUGGAAUAAUGGGGUUUUGAGUUAUACUAGCUUAUUCAUUUGCCUAUAAAUUCAACUCAAGCAAAUGUUUUAGAAAGAACAUGACACAAUAUAGAAAUUCAUGUAAGCGAUAUCAAGGCUAGAGAGAAGAAAAAAAAAGUGAGAAUUAUCUUUAUACUCCUAUUAUUUGAAAUAAUGAAAGCCUAAAAACUACAUUUGCAGUAUUAGUUUUUAGUUAAAUCAUGACCAUUAUUGUCAAUCUCUUUGAGUGUUUAAGCUUUGUUUUAGGAGUGUGCAAAACUUUGACAAACAAUAGGCGUAACGUCGGGUUUAACUGUAUCCACAAGGCUUAGUCGCAUAUCCUUUUUGCACACUGUAUAUGGGGCCGAAUAGAGUAUGAAAGACAUCAUAUUUAUAUGUGCCUUGAAGCAAUCUUUCAUCCUUCGUCACAACCAUGACCCACAUGCUACAAAAAAAAUAAAAAUAAAAAGAAAAAAUUCCAACAAAACUUGUGUAGUACAUGCAACCAUCUGGGAAGAAAUAUGUGACUAAAAUGUUCUAAACUACUCAAGCAUUGAGUUUAUCAGAUUCUAAAUAGGAUUGACAUAACCAAGACAACUACAAAUAGCUCUACACAAAUAAGAAUUUGAAAGCUUUAAGUCAUACAAAUGAAAACUUCUUCCGUUUAAAACAAUCGUUAACAUAAAAGAGGCAAGGUUCAAAGCGAUGGUAGGAAAAGUAGAGAAAAACAAGAAAUGAAAAACCACAAGCAUCAUAUCUUUGUCAUUCUUUAGCCUUCUUCAGCUUUGAGGUACGAGUCUCUAAUUGUACUCAUUUUUCCGACAACCAUAUUCAGAAGCAUUCGCUCCCUGGGUGAUAUUGCACAGCAAGAGAGUCCUAUCUGCAUCACAACAAACAAGCAUUCCUCUACCUUUUUUGCUUUCAUGACUCCGCGAUUGUUACGUCUGGGCAGCUCAGUCUUUUCGUAUCUGUCAUCGUUAACACUACCAUCAACUUCGAGGUCGAGGAGCAAUGAAGGGUCAACAACGUCCAUGACAUGGUCGGGCAAAGCCAUGGCUACGAAUUUGUAAAUGCUUAGACCUUCGAUGAACAUGUCAUCAGUAGGUGUUUUUCCCGUGAACAUUUCUAGCAAAAGUAUCCCGUAGCUGUAAACAUCUCCUAGUAUGGAAACUUGGCCUCCCAUGCCGUACUCUACCGUGACAUACAUAUAGACAAUAAGAUGUCACAUGCAAUGGACUAUUAAAAUUGAUAUCUUAUUUCAGAUUAUUGUUACUUGUUUCUAGUAAAAAGAGUCAAUAAUAUAUCUUUAAUAAAUAGAAUUUAAUUAGUUGGUUUUUAGUAAUAAGUUAAUAAUUAAGAACCGAAAAAUGAAAUUAGAAUGAUGGAAUCUCAUACCUGGAGGAAUGUAACCUAUAGAACCCUUUAGUUGCGAUGACAUUAUUUGACUAAGGGAAUGAUCAUUUGAUGCUUCCAAUAGGAACCUUGCUAAACCAAAGUCCCCAACAUGGGCUACCAUGUCUUCAUCAAGAAGUACAUUGCUCGGCUUUAGAUCACAAUGAACAAUGGACGUUUCACAAUGGUUGUGGAGAUAAUCUAAUGCAGAAGCAACAUCAAUGGCUAUGUUCAAUCUUUGCAUAAAAUUCAAUCUCUUACUUGGAGAUUGCUCCUUAUCUCUAGGAUGCAACCACGAGUCAAGACUUCCAUUUGGCAUGAACUCGAAGACUAGACUUUUGAAGUCUUUACCAUGAUUAUCAAUGCUCGAGCAUGCAGUUAUGAUCUUGACAAGAUUUCGGUGCAUGACACUUCUUAAAGCUUUGCAUUCAUCAUUGAAACUCUUGGACGCUCCUUGUUGUUGAAGGUUUAAUACCUUAACAGCAACUACCGUUCCAUCGUUAGGAAUUACCCCUUUAUAAACAGAACCAAAACUUCCCGAACCAAUCAAAUUAUCCACAGAGAAACCGUUAGUCGAUUCAACAAGUUGUGAGUAGGAAACACCUAAUUUCCAAUCCUUAUAAGAGCGUGAAGUUACAAGUCCAUCACUUGAGUUUUUCAGCAUUGAACGAGCACCAAGGAAGCAUGAUAGAGCAAUUAUGAAUGCAAGUGCACAAGAUAUAGGGAUGACUACUUUUAGGGAAAAUAGUCCUCGAGAUGAAUGAUGUUUAUUUUUGGGGCAUGCAGGCAAAUGUAAUUGUGGGGUGCCAUCACAGAGCUUAUGAUUUCCAAGAACUGAGACACCACUGACAUUUGAAAAAAUUCCUUCUUUAGGCAACUCGCCUUCAAAAUCAUUAUACGAAAGAUUGAGAUACUUAAGUGCUCCAAGCUUGCCUAUGAAUUCAGGAAUCUGCCCAGAUAACUUAUUGCUUGAAAUGUCAAGUACUUCCAAGCCUUUUAAAUCUUUAAGAGACUGAGGAAUUGUUCCUUCAAAUUUGUUGUCGUCCAAGAACAAGCGCCCCAAGCUAGUACAACUGCCGAUGGUGCUGGGGAUUUCACCUGAUAACUUGUUGUUUGAUACAUCUAUUUCUGUGAGAUGCACCAGAUCACCCACAUUACUUGGCAGUGAACCGGUCAAAUAAUUUUCAGACAGGUCCAAACCAAUUGAAAGGGCUGAAAGCUCCAUAAGCUUUUGAGGUAUGCUGCCCGUUAGAUUGUUAUUCCGAAGUGCAAGUACUAAAAGGUUUUGGCAGUUUCCAAGACUUGGAGGUAUACUUCCCUCAAAAUUGUUUCUGUACAUGCAAAGAUCUAUCAAUGAAGUCAUAUUACCCAGGGAAGAUGGAAUUGGCCCAUAAAAUUUGUUAUCAAACAAAUACAGUUUCCCUAUCUUCUCAAGCUUCCCAAUUUCUACAGGGACAACACCUGCCAAAUAGUUAUUAGACAUAUCUAGAACCAUAAGGUUUAUAAGAUUUCCAAUGCCAUUUGGGAGGCUUCCAUGUAACAAAUUUCUCCCUAGAGCAAGAACUUGUAGUUGGGUCGAAAGGUUGGCUAUGGAUCUCGGGAUUUCUCCCCCAAAACGAUUAUAGCCAAGACCCAGAUAUUGAAGACUAGUACAAUUAGUCAAGAAAUUGAGAAAACUCAAAUCACCAAGUUUUCCAUUUCCCAAUCGAUUGACUGCAAAGUUUAGCCAAAUUAAGCUUCGCAAGCUUCCGAGACUUUCUCCAGGGACUGUCCCCGUGAAGUCAUUUACAGAAAAUUCAAUCUUCUGAAGUCUAGAAGCAUUUGACAAUGAUACAGGAAUAUUUCCUGUGAAAUUGUUUAUACAACAUUCAAAUACUAUGAGAUUAGGAAGCAAGAUGCCGAGAUUUGGUGGUAGCUCUCCAUGUACUUGGUUUACAGCAACACCGAACUUGUAUAUGGAAGAAAUAUUAUAAAUUGAAGAAGGGAGCAUACCAGACAAAUUAUUCUCCCCAACGAGGAAUAUCUUCAAGGUUGUUAUAUGCCCGAGCUCAUUUGGUAUGCUUCCUUGAAAAUUGUUGCGGGCAAGUCUAAGACUCCUUAAAGAAGAAAAAUUUCCUAUCCAACCUGGGAUGGUUCCACUAAGAUUAUUUUUUCCAAGUUGUAGAACAGUCAAACUCAACCAGGAACUGAGUUGGCGUGGAAUUGACCCAAUAAUCUUAUUGGAAUAAAGAUCCAAAAAUCUCAGUUGUGUACAGUGGGACAUAUUAGUCGGAAUUUUCCCGCCUAAAGAGUUGAAAGAUAGGUUGAGACUUUCCAGGGUACGUAGUCGACCCAAUUCUUGAGGAAUUUCUCCAUGAAACUCGUUGAUUCCCAAGCUUAUUUCAAUUAGACGAGUGAGAUUUCCAAUGGAAGGUGGAAUGGAGCCUACCAGUUGUUUAUCUUCCAGGUCCAGAAUCAAGACUCUUUGGGUGGCACGGUGGCAUGUAAUGCCUACCCAACUGCAGAAGUGGAUGGAAUGAUUCCACGAGCUCAUGACACUGAGAGGAUCUUCAGUUAUUCUUUUCUUGAAGUCUAGCAAAGCCAAGUGAUCAGAUUCGUUUCCAAGCAGGGUAGGGCUGGGAAAUGCUGCAGAUUCCGGACAUGUGCUCAUCAUGCAUAAGACUAAGAGAAAUAAGCCAUGCAGGAAUUUCAACAAAACCAGAUUACGAAUAGUACGUGAAUGCUCCAUCAUUGUUCAAAGACAAAUGGAGAACCAAAAAAAUCAAAGUUUAAUUUGCACAAAAGCACAAAAGAGAAGAAAUCCUAUCACAUGUAAGAAAUAACACUUGAGAUUGGAUGUCCCCAGAAAUUAAGAUAGACCAACUUAGUAGUAAGUCAACAGAAAUUAAGAAAUCUAUUGGAAGUAUUGGAAGGUCAAAUCAAAAUAAAGUGGCCGAAAUUGGUGGAAUAGUUGGCUUGUUUUGUCUAUAGCUGCCUUGUUUUUCAACAGCUAUACUUGUCUUUUACUUUGAUAGCUAUCAAUGUUUCUGUAAUGGCCGAAAGCUAUGUGUGUGUAUACAAAAGUUUGAAGGUGCGUGUAAAAGUGUGUAUGUGCAAAGACUUUUGAACACCUAUGUUUUGUGUUGGUCUUUGUAAAAUCUCUAUAAGAGGGAUGUCUAUGUAUGUUUGUAAUCAAUCACAUUCCAACAAAACCAGAUUACGAAUAGUACGUGAAUGGAAAACCUGAAAACCAAAGUUUAAUUUGCACAAAAGCACGAAAGAGAAGAAAUCCUAUCUCAUCUAAGAAAAAGCACUUACAUUGGAUGGCCACAGAAAUUAAGAUCGACCAAAUUAGUAGUUAGUCUGCAGAAAUUAAGAAAUCUUAUCACAUGUAAGAAAAAGCACUUGAGAAAUUACGAUAGACCAACUUAAUAAUUAGUCAACAGAAAUUAAGAAAUCUUAGUCCACAGCUUAUAAGGAACGGAAGAGUCAGACGACUUUGUCCGCACCACGAAGCACGGACACGCCGGUUUUAUGGCGUAUCCCGUAUCAGAUACGGUUUGGGAUACGACAAGCACACCCGAUACGGCCCAAUACGCAUCGGAUACGUAUCUGAACGUAUCCGUUGACCAGUCGACCUCUGGAUACGUCGUCGAUAAGCUUUCGAUACGCGAAUUCUACUGUCGGGAUACGUUUUCAAGGAUAAUCAGACUAUGGUGGGAGAGACUCUCACCGUGGACCGGCGUCUGCAACUGUGUUGGCUACGUCGUCUACAACAGCAAGGCUGCUGGGUAACUGGGUUUCGAUUUGAACAAUAGAACAGCUAAGGAGAAGAAGCAACCGUAUUUUGGUGGGGAUCUAUUGAGAGAAGCAACGGAGAGAGAGCUUUACAGGUCAAGUCAGUCUUUCUUUUUUUUUGUUUUUUCUCACUGAUUUUGAUAGUAUAACAUAAUUAAUAUAUUAGAUAUGUUAUGGCAUCAUGUUGGCAUCUGUAUCUCAAUUAGGGGUGAAACUUGGAUUGGGUCAAUCCUAACUUGUCUAUGCUUUAUCCGAUUUCAAAAUUCGGACAAUUGAGUAUUUUUUUAGUUAUAACCUGUCCAAACCCAACUUAAAUUUACAUACAAUUUUUUAUUUUUUUUUAUUGGAGUUUGAAAAGAAUUAGUUGUUCUUGGAAAUAAUUACAGAAAAUUGGAAUGGGAAAGUGAGGAAAUGCAUGUAAAUGGGUUUGAGAAAAUGACUUUUCUUUGGCGUUCGCUUUUGGCUUUCAUCCUUUAUGUGUACGUCUUCAUUGGAUGAGCUUUGUUUUCCUUUUUUGAUCUUACUGAUUUUUUUUUCUUUUCCCCCAUUUGGGCUAAAUAGUUCACAAACUUCCAAGCGAUUAUUGAUAAUCGUUGUUGUUAUGAAUAAAUCUAGUCAAUGACUUACUAAAACACCAAUUCUCCAUAGAUUCUGCAUAGCCAGAGCACUAUUAGAUGAAGCUUUGCGAGAAAAAAAAAAAGGGAUAGACAGGGCUCACAAGGAAAUUUGAGCUGAAACCAACAAUUGUGCUGUGAACAAAUUAUGCUGAAACCAACAAUUUCCAAUACAAAAUCCCAAUUAAAAAAAAAGGGCAAGUAUCAGUCCAAAUGUCGAUACCAAGAGGCUCCAAAUUUAUACAACCCAAGUAUUCGAGCAUAAAAAUACACAGAAAUGAAUAAACAAAUCAUAAGAAAUAAUCCAUUGAUGCAAUAUCCAGUUUUCCAGCAUACUAACAAGAUAAAGCAUCGGAAUUUAAUCCACCCCAACAAAAAAGAAAUGGAAUUUUGAUUUUAAAAAAAAACGCAAAUUACGAAGCUAAACUGAAAAUUUCCAAAAAAGCAGAAAAAAAUGGCGGCGAUCGAAUGCUUGGGAAUACGAUUUUACCUGAGAGUUGUUUAUGGCUUUCUGCAAAAGCCGCUUGGCGAACAUCGCGAUUUCGAAUUUGCAGCUGAAAUCUUUGGCUUUCUGCAGAAGCAGCUGGAUUGGACUAGCGGAGGAGACUUUCUAUGUUUGUUUCAGUGAUCAUAUUCAUACCGAUGGCGUUCCUACUCUUAAAGAGCUGUAAAAAAUUUCGAAUCAGUCAAUGAAAAAAAUUGAAAAAUAAAUGAAAAAAAUAAAUGGAAAGGUGCUUAGCCGUUGUUUAAGGGGUUUGUAUCCUCCGCGGUCGCGAUUAUUUCACAUUCGGCAAUCCCGCCGUUGGAAGAGAAGGCAAAACGGAGUCGUUUUGGGCAUGUUUGCUUGCAUUUUGCAUCAUUUGGUUGACACAAAGCCAUUACAAAUAGAGUAGAUGAAAGUAGACAUCACCAAAAGCCGUCACGGAAAGCAAAAGAAAGCAUUACCAAUAUCUUUUUUUUAUUUUUUAUUUUCAUACAAGCAAUUUUUUACAUUGAAUUGUAAUUUAAUUUGAUUUACAAGAAAGCACUCGACUGGGUACACGGAGCACAUUUAUUUUACUCAAAGUCGUUACGCCUAUGUCUAUAAAAUAUAACUUGUCAUGUAUCAACAACUUAUUCUCAUUAGAGCAAAUUUUAUAAAGGAAACCGAACUAAACCAAAUUAGUCACCUAGUUCAAAUCAUCAAUUGAUGGGUUAUUGUGCCCACUUCUAGAGCUAACUUUGAAGUGGGGGUGGUAGUGGGUCUUGUCGAGGUACCAAUCAUUUGGGACAUUAUUCGACUCCUAAAAAUGAAUUCACUCCUUAUUCCCACAAUUAUAUUUUUAAUAUUUAUACAUAAAUAAUUUUUAAAAACAAGAUAUUUAUUAUUGACACUCUAAAAAUUUAAUUGUGAACUAAAUUUUUAUUUAGAAAGAUAAAACUCUUACGAAAAGUGCAUAAUUAAAUUUUAAUAUGCCAAUAAUAGAUCUCAAAAGGAAAAUAAGAAGAAAAAGUUGUAAUGCACAUUCAUAAAAACUUUUUAGCUAAAAUGGUAUUUGAGACUGGAUAACUUCUCAUUUUGGUAUUUAAGAUUUGAAAUCGAUAAAAGCAGUCCCUCAGUUUGUUUACCAUCAAUCAUUUUAGUCAUUUUGUGAAAAUUCUGUUAAAUAAGGACUAAAAUUACAAAAAUACUCUCAAGUUAAUAAACAAUGGGCAAAAUGAUUUGACAAGAUUGAGGGUAUUUUGUCAUGUUAUCCUUAUUUAAUGCUGAUUUUUCAUAGAAUGACCAAAAUGAUUGAUGUUGGACAAUCUCAAUGACUACUUAUAUCAAUUUCAAAUCUCAAGAACCAAAGUGAAGAUGUGUGUCAAUUUCAGAAAGCAUUUAGAUAAAUAAUAAAAAAAAAUCAUUAAAAAUGAUUAGCAAGAAUAGUACAGGCCCAAUGGGUAAAACGGAAUAUACUACAAGCCCAAUAGACCUAACGGACAAAAAAUAGGAAAAACUAAAAUGGACCGACAGUACCCGACAAUCAAUUGCUUAGUCUAUUUCAACAACAAUUCUAUAACGACCAAUUUCUCUGAAAAACAAAUAAGGAUAAAACUUCCGUCCACUCAUACAGUGACACGGGGUAUAGCUAAUACGGGCGCAUAGUGAAAAAUAAGUAAUGCGAUGCUAAAUUUUGUAAACUAAAUGACAUAAAAGUUGAUAAAUAAAUUAUAUUACUUAAACGUUUCAUCUUUUAUUAGUGAUUUUUCAUUUGAUUUAUUAAUUUAAUUUAAUGUACAAUUUUUUUUUUAGAAACUAUUGCCACAACCAUUUUUUAUUAUCUUUGGAACCUCAUCGCUAUCUCGACCUCCGAGCUCCCAAUUUUCCUCCUCACCACCAUGACAGUUCCGCCGUAUCAGGGUAAACUAUUCAGCUAUUUGAUUAUUUUUUAUUGGGUUUUAGUUCAAUUUUUUUAGCUUUUAUUUUAUGAAUUUUUAACGAUCAGAAAUGAUGGAUUGAACAAUUCUAUUUUUUUUACAAAUUACAGUCAUAUGGGAUCUCUUAGAACUUGGAAAGAUCACUGUGAACAUGGAAAAUUCCUGAAACGAAAGAGACAAGAACAACGUGCACAAACAAAUAUUUGUAUUUGAUGAUUUUGGGUUACAAUAUCUCUUAAAUUUGAUCCUCUGAUUCAAUCUCCGUAAGGUGUGUAUUUGUGGAUGUGCGAUUGAUCCAAAGGGCCGUUGGGCUUGAUCUAAGGAUGAACGUUCUUCAAGGGCCGUGGACUUGAUCUUGAAGGUGGAUUUGAGCGGAUCUUCAAAGGGGCUUUUGGGCUUGAUCUUUGAAGAACAGUGAUGAACGGAUCUCCAAGAGCUUUUGGGCUUGAUCUUGAAGAACGGUUGGACGUGUGGAUUUGUUGAUGUUGUUGAUCCAAGGGGCCGUUGGGGCUUGAUCUUAGAAGAACGAUGAACGAAGAACAAAGAACACUUUCUUCAAGGGCCGUCGGGCCUUGAUCUUGAAGGUGGAUGAUUGUUGAUCCAAGGGGCCGUCGGGGCUUGAUCUUGGAAGAAUGAUGAACAAAGAACGAAGAACACUUUCUUCAAGGGCCGUCGGGGCUUGAUCUUGAAGGAGGAUUUGAUGAAGAACGAAAAGGGCUUUCUUGAUCCUUCGGGAUUUGCUUGAGAGCUUCGGAGGUUCAGAGCUUCAAGGUGUAAUAUGAAUUCCUCCCCUCAAAUGAAUGAAUUAGCCUUCUAUUUAUAGAAAUUUCCAAGGCCUAAUUUUGAAUAUAAUAUUCCAGAUGAAAUAAGUCGUUUCUGCCAGGUGUUGAUACGUGUCCUGUUUGAUGACUUUUCCAACUUAUUUCGAUUUUUUGUUUAGACACACGCUACGUAUAAAAUUUAUGUAAUACAUGAGCGUUGAAACUUUGAUUUAUCGGUCAACAUUUAUUUACCAAAAUUUCGAUGUCUACAAUCACAACUUUGAUGGAAAUUAUACUGAAAUUUCGAUUUUUUAUUUUGUGGGUUAACUCUUGAGUUAGCAUUUGGAAUUAAGCUCUUGGUUUGAACUUGAAGCUUCUGGUUGUUGAUUUGGGCAUUCUGCAAUUGUUAUAAGCUGAGUAUGUGGCUGUGAUUUCUAAUUUUCAACUCGGUUUAACGGUUGCUAUUGUUUUGCUGGUGUCCCGCAGAUGAUGUUAAGAAUAAUGAGAGGACGAAUUACUUCAAUUCCCCUGCAUUGGAUGUCUCAGUUACUUUUCCGCAAGCAACGCGGGCUUCUACUUUUCCUCCCUGCAGUAAGAACAUUAACCAUCAUUAUAUAAUAGAUAUCGUAUAGAUAAACUUGUAUGUGUGUCUAUAGAGAAAUUGUCUUUUGUAAAACAGUUCAGGAUUUCCUCUUGUUAUGUAACUUAUGUGAAUCCAGACUAUUCAUUCGAAUUUUUCGGAUUUGCUUAUUCAUCUUGUCUCACUUUUUGCAUUCUGGUUUGUUUUUACUUUGUUUCUUUGUGAAUAUUUAGUACCUUGCUCGUGCACCUCUUUAGUUGUUGUGAUUUUGAUUUGUAAUUUGAAGAAACGGGCAACUUCAGUAAUUAACUUCCAUAUUCUUAUCUCUUGGCCUUAAAAAUUUACAGCUUCGGAUUGUUACAAGAUUGAUGAUCUAUUGACACCAGAGGAGCAGGCUAUUAGGUUGCGAGUAAGAGAGUGUAUGGAGAAAGACGUUGCUCCAAUUAUGGCAGAGGCAUCCCUUUUACUCUAACCAUUUCUGCAUUUCAUAUUAAGGCUAAAACAGUCAAUAUUUAAUUAUUUAAUAUACAUUCAUAAACAAUGAGAUUGAUCUGCGAACUUGUUCUUUCAGUAUUGGGAGAAGGCAGAGUUUCCAUUUCAAAUUAUUCCAAAGCUUGGUGCAUUGCGCAUUGCUGGUGGGACAGUCAAGGUGCUUAAUACAUAUCUUAAUAAGUUAUUUUUAAAUCUUGCGUUCGAUAAUUUGUUGGAUGUCCUGGUCUUUCUAUUACGGCAAAUGCUUUUGCUACAGCUGAAAUUGCUAGAGUUGAUGCAAGCUGUUCUACUUUCUUCUUGGUUCAUUCCUCAGCAGCAAUGCUUACUAUUGGUUAGAAUUUGGAUAAUUUUAUUUUUGACCUUUUGUUUUAUAAAUAACCAAACCUUCACUGAAAAAAAUGAUGUUGUUGACAAGUCAAGACUUAUAACCAGUGUUAAUAUUUCUGGACUGUCAAGAAUAGCAUUAUGUGGGUCAGAGGCUCAAAAGCAGAAAUAUCUACCUUCUUUGGCUGAAUUUAAGACUGUCGCCUGCUGGGUAAGAUGCUCUUUUAUGAUAUUUGUAUCUAAUAUCUUUUUAUGCUAAUGUCAAGAUACUCAAAUCUGUUUAUCUGCAUGUUAAAGGGUUUGACUGAGCCUGACUAUGGAAGUGAUGCGACAGCAACAAAGGUCAAGGAUUUCAACCUUCUCAUUUGCUUCUUUAUUUCUGUUAAAUGGUAUUAUCAUGCUCUUUUGGUUUUUGGGUGUCAUGGCUCCGAUCAUGCUAUAUCACGUAUUCUUGUGUUGUUGGGAUCAUCAGGUGGAAGGAGGUUGGGUACUUGAAGGCCAAAAGCGAUGGAUAGGAAACAGUACAUUUGCUGAUGUCUUGAUUAUUUUUGCUAGGAAUACAACAACAAAUCAGAUUAAUGGGUAUGUAAAAAAAUAAACAUGCGAACAACCUCUCAAUAUGUGUUCGAAACUUGUUUGUUAAGCUUCAAAGCUAUGCAGAAUUUAUGAUUAUUUCUUUCUGAUUAUGUUUCUCCUUGCCUCCAAAUUGCUUUGGUGUUUAGGCCAUCUCCAACUGAAGUAGGGUCAGAAGGCUCUCUUUGGCCCUAUAGCCCUUCAAGAAAUUAAUAUUUUAACGAACAGUCAGACCAUUUUUCUUACCAUCUCCAACCGAGGGGCUAGAGGGUCAUAGGCCAAACAUAUCCCUGUGACAAAAAACCAUCUCCAACCGAAGGGGCCAAAGGGCCAUAGGACCAAACAUAAUUUAUUAUUUUAAUUGAAUUACUAUUGUUACUUAAAUUAAAUUACCUCAAUAAUUUUACAUUAUGGAUUGUUAAUGUUUUUUUUAAUGGAAUAGGCGUUCAAGUUUUAUGUUGUUAAAUGUUUGUUUUAAUGUUGUUUAAGUUCCAUGUUAAAUGUUUUUUUUUAUUUUUUAUUUUUCAUGUUGUAUAAGUUUUAUGUUGUUUAAUGUUACUUAAUGUUAUUUAAGGUUGUUUAAUAUUUUUUAAUGUUGUUUAAUGUUACUUAAAGUUAUUUAAGGUUGUUUAAUGUUACUUAAAUUUAUUUAAGGUAGUUUAAUAUUGUUUAAUGUUAUUUAAUGUUGUUUAAUAGCUUAUGUAGUUAUAGGAAAAAAAUUAGAAUUAAUUUGUAAAAAAAAUAAUAUAUAUAACGGCUAGUUGACGUCACCCUGAUGUCAGCAACUAGCCGUUGCAUUCAAAUUACUGGACUGGCCCAAGGCUGGCUGGGUUGGGCUAGCCGGUUGGUCCUUUUCUCCUUUUUUUUUGACCCUUUGGCUUAGCCCUCGGUUGGUGAUGGUUUUCAUGUCAUUUCGGGCUAUUUUCUGUCUUAUGACCCUCUGGCCGGAUCAGUUGGGGAUGGCCUUAGAUGCCUAGAUGCAUCCAAAAUUUAGCAUGAUGGUUUUCCGUAGCAGCACUCUCAUGUUGAAUGUUUUUUUUUCCUCCUUCUAUUUCAGAUUUAUAGUAAAGAAGAAUGCCCCUGGACUGACAGCUACAAAAAUAGAAAAUAAAAUUGGUUUACGCAUUGUUCAAAAUGGAGAUAUUCUCUUAAAUAGAGUAUUUGUUCCAGAUGAGGAAAGGCUACCUGGUGUUAAUUCUUUUCAGGAUACUAACAAGGUAAGCUGCAAAGCUGCGUUAUUGCAAUUUGUUUAAUCUUCUUCUCCCUUUAGAGUAAUUUAGGCAUAAAUUCUACUUCUUAUUCGAGCUUAUGUUUAAUAAACAAGACAUGUUUAAGCUUGACUAAAGAUUCAUCUUGGUUUUUGUAAUAUCUCUUUUUUCCCCUUUUGAGAGAUAAGGCUUGAUACUGCAAUGCCGUUAUCCCAAAGUAUAACUCUGAAUCUUCUUUCUACGGAGCAUGGAGCAAAGUUUUUCAUUCCGUUGCCCUAAUAUAAAACAGAUGUGCUAAGGUCUCUCAUUUCUCACACAUGUGAGAGCGACACGUAUAAUGCUGUCUUCAUGAGUAUUUAUUGAUUUUAUGUUGCUUUAAACAACUGAAUACAGGUUCUUGCUGUUUCGCGUGUCAUGGUCGCCUGGCAACCUAUUGGUUUAUGUAUGGGGGUCUAUGAUAUGUGUCACAGGUAUAAAAACAUGCCUAAGCUGCUCUCUCUCUCUCUCUCUCUCUCUCUCUCUCUCUCACAUCUUCCAUUUACCGUAAUUCAAGUUUCCUCUGUAUUAAGUCUAAAUUAUACGGAUUUGAAAGGUAUCGGAAGGAGAGGAAACAAUUUGGAGCCCUCUUGCAGCCUUCCAGAUCAACCAAGAGAAACUUGUCCGUAUGCUUGGUAAUGUUCAAGCUAUGGUUCUUAUAGGCGCCUCUGCAAGGUGUAUGAGGCGGGUAAAAUGACUCCAGGUCAUGCUAGCAUGGGGAAGGUAAGAAAAAAAGAAAAACUAAUGAAAAUGGCUUGAAAACUUUGAGUUUUAACGAUAAGGACAAAAUAAAGGGUAAAGUGAAUACUACCAAGUUUGACUUUUUAGUAUAAAAAUGUGUUUUUUCGUUAAAGUCAAUAAUACCGCUAGUUUUUCGUUAAAACUCCCAAAAAAAAUGACACCCUGAUGCAAUUACCUAUCCUAUUGCUUAUACAUUCAAAAUAUUCAAAAUACUAAGUGGGUGCAAUUUUCAGUCAUGGAUCACUCUGAGGGCAAGGGAAACGGUUGCUCUAGGGAGGGAAUUACUCGGUGGCAAUGGAAUCUUAUCUGAUUUUCUUGUUGCAAAUGUAAUUUCAGUUGAAUAUCAAAAUGCGCAACGAACAAGAUUAACAAAAUAAUAAGAAUAUUAUUAAACAAACUAAGAAUGCCGAAACGGCUACAAAACCCUAAAAGACUACAUUGUGACUAACUUAUUGAUUGAAACUAACUAAUACAAGCACUACUAUAUAUAGUGAAAACUAAAGCAAAAUCAUAAUCCUUAAAGGAUAUAGAAAACUCUAAUAAACCCUAAAUCCUAACCCUUAAAGGAUAUAGAAAAUUCUAAUAUCCUUGUCCCACAAGAAAACCAUAAACAAAAAUAAACUAAUAACUAAUUUUCCAACACCCCUCUUCAAACUCAUGGCGGAACACAGACAUGAAUUUGCCAAAGUAGAUGUGGACGCAAGACUCCAAAUUCCAGUGCUGAUUUCGAUGCCGAUGCCGAUGCCGAUGUUGAUGCUAAUGUCGUUGCAAGAUUCCAAUGCCAAUGCAAAUUCCAACUUCCAAACAAACAAACAAAAAUUCAAUUCACCACGUUCACAACGUCACUUGAGUGGUCUCCAAUCUAAGCACUCAAACGAUCGUCGCGGUGGUCAACAACAGGCUUCCUAAUACAAGCCAAACAAACCAUAUUUCUUUCUUGCCCAUGUGGGCCUUCAAACAAAAAAAACAAUGUAUUUUUUCCUUUUUUUCUUUUCUACUCUUUUUUUUUCUCUUAUUCUUUUUCUUCCUUCCUUCUCUCUGCCUUUCUUCUGGCAAAACCAAUUGCAGCAAACAAGGCUUCCAAAACCAAUUGCAGCAAACAAAAAAAAACUUCUAGUGCAAAGUUAACCUGCAGAAGGGGAGUGACAGAUCCGACUGGUAGGAGUCGGUGCGGGUACCGUGAACAUGUGGAUGUAGCAGUGGAGAUGGUGGUGCGGGUUAUCUGGGCAGAUUGCAGUGCAAUGGUGGCGACAAGAACGACUUUGACUACGGAUGAGCGGAAGACGACGGACGAAACUAAUACCCAGUAAACUAACAAACAAAACUGAUACAAACAAAUUGACAAAAAUCAAGAACAGAUUAAAUCCCAAAGGAUCAAACUUUGAUACCAAGUUGAAUAUCAGAAUGCGCAACGAACAAGAUUAAUAAAAUAAUAAGAAUAUUAUUAAACAAACUGAGAAUGCCGAAACAGCUACAAAACCUUAAGAGACUAUAUUGUGACUAACUUAUUGAUUGAAACUAACUAAUACAAGCACUACUAUAUAUAGUGAAAACUAAAGCAAAAUCAUAAUCCUUAAAGGAUAUAGAAAACUCUAAUAAACCCUAAAUCCUAACCCUUAAAGGAUAUAGAAAAUUCUAAUAUCCUUGUCCCACAAGAAAACCAUAAACAAAAAUAAACUAAUAACUAAUUUUCCAACACCCCCCUUCAAACUCGUGGCGGAACACAGACAUGAGUUUGCCAAAGUAGAUGUGGACGCAAGACUCCAAAUUCCAGUGCUGAUGCCGAUGCCGAUGGCGAUGCUGAUGCCGAUGCCGAUGCCGAUGUUGAUGCCGAUGCCGAUGUUGAUGCCAAUGUCGUUGCAAGAUUCUAAUGCCAAUGCAAAUUCCAACUUCCAAACAAACAAACAGAAAUUCAAUUCACCACGUUCACAACGUCACUUGAGUGGUCUCCAAUCCAAGCACUCAAACGAUCGUCACGGUGGUCAACAACAGGCUUCCUAAUACAAGCCAAACAAACCAUACUUCUUUCUUGCCCGUGUGGGCCUUCAAACAAAAAAAAAACAACGUAUUUUUUCCUUUUUUUCUUUUCUACUCUUUUUUUUUCUCUUAUUCUUUUUCUUCCUUCCUUCUCUCUGCCUUUCUUCUGGCAAAACCAAUUGCAGCAAACAAGGCUUCCAAAACCAAUUGCAGCAAACAAAAAAAAACUUCUAGUGCAAAGUUAACCUGCAGAAGGGGAGUGACAGAUCCGACUGGUAGGAGUUGGUGCGGGUACCGUGAACAUGUGGAUGUAGCAGUGGAGAUGGUGGUGCGGGUUAUCUGGGCAGAUUGCAGUGUGGUGGUGGCGACAAGAAUGGUUUUGACUACUGAUGAGUGGAAGACGACGGACGAAACUAAUACCCAGUAAACUAACAAACAAAACUGAUACAAACAAAUUGACACUAAUCAAGAACAAAUUAAAUCCCAAAUGAUCAAACUCUGAUACCAAGUUGAAUAUCAGAAUGCGCAACGAACAAGAUUAACAAAAUAAUAAGAAUAUUAUUAAACAAACUGAGAAUGCUGAAACGGCUACAAAACCCUAAGAGACUACAUUAUGACUAACUUAUUGAUUGAAACUAACUAAUACAAGCACUACUAUAUAUAGUGAAAACUAAAGCAAAAUCAUAAUCCUUAAAGGAUAUAGAAAACUCUAAUAAACCCUAAAUCCUAACCCUUAAAGGAUAUAGAAAAUUCUAAUAUCCUUGUCCCACAAGAAAACCAUAAACAAAAAUAAACUAAUAACUAAUUUUCCAACACCCCCCUUCAAACUCAUGGCGGAACACAGACAUGAGUUUGUUAAAGUAGAUGUGGACGCAAGACUCCACAUUCCAGUGCUGAUGCCGAUGCCGAUAAUGAUGCCGAUGCCGAUGCCGAUGCCGAUGUUGAUGCCGAUGCCGAUGUUGAUGCCAAUGUCGUUGCAAGAUUCCAAUGCCAAUGCAAAUUCCAACUUCCAAACAAACAAACAAAAAUUCAAUUCACCACGUUCACAACGUCACUUGAGUGGUCUCCAAUCUAAGCACUCAAACGAUCGUCGCGGUGGUCAACAACAGGCUUCCUAAUACAAGCCAAACAAACCAUAUUUCUUUCUUGCCCGUGUGGGCCUUCAAACAAAAAAAACAACGUAUUUUUUCCUUUUUUUCUUUUCUACUCUUUUUUUUUUCUCUUAUUCUUUUUCUUCCUUCCUUCUCUCUGCCUUUCUUCUGGCAAAACCAAUUGCAGCAAACAAGGCUUCCAAAACCAAUUGCAGCAAACAAAAAAAAACUUCUAGUGCAAAGUUAACCUACAGAAGGGGAGUGACAGAUCCGACUGGUAGGAGUUGGUGCGGUACCGUGAACAUGUGGAUGUAGCAGUGGAGAUGGUGGUGCGGGUUAUCUGGGCAGAUUGCAGUGCGGUGGUGGCGACAAGAACGGCUUUGACUACGGAUGAGCGGAAGACGACGGACGAAACUAAUACCCAGUAAACUAACAAACAAAAUUGAUACAAACAAAUUGACACUAAUCAAGAACAGAUUAAAUCCCAAAUGAUCAAACUCUGAUACCAAGUUGAAUAUCAGAAUGCGCAACGAACAAGAUUAACAAAAUAAUAAGAAUAUUAUUAAAUAAACUGAGAAUGCCGAAACUGCUACAAAACCCUAAGAGAUUACAUUGUGACUAACUUAUUGAUUGAAACUAACUAAUACAAGCACUACUAUAUAUAGUGAAAACUAAAGCAAAAUCAUAAUCCUUAAAGGAUAUAGAAAACUCUAAUAAACCCUAAAUCCUAACCCUUAAAGGAUAUAGAAAAUUCUAAUAUCCUUGUCCCACAAGAAAACCAUAAACAAAAAUAAACUAAUAACUAAUUUUCCAACACCCCCCUUCAAACUCAUGGCGGAACACAGACAUGAGUUUGCUAAAGUAGAUGUGGACGCAAGACUCCACAUUCCAUUGCUGAUGCCGAUGCCGAUAAUGAUGCCGAUGCCGAUGCCGAUGCCGAUGUUGAUGCCGAUGCCGAUGUUGAUGCCAAUGUCGUUGCAAGAUUCCAAUGCCAAUGCAAAUUCCAACUUCCAAACAAACAAAACAAAAUUCAAUUCACCACGUUCACAACGUCACUUGAGUGGUCUCCAAUCUAAGCACUCAAACGAUCGUCGCGGUGGUCAACAACAGGCUUCCUAAUACAAGCCAAACAAACCAUAUUUCUUUCUUGCCCGUGUGGGCCUUCAAACAAAAAAAACAACGUAUUUUUUCCUUUUUUUCUUUUCUACUCUUUUUUUUUUCUCUUAUUCUUUUUCUUCCUUCCUUCUCUCUGCCUUUCUUCUGGCAAAACCAAUUGCAGCAAACAAGGCUUCCAAAACCAAUUGCAGCAAACAAAAAAAAACUUCUAGUGCAAAGUUAACUUGCAGAAGGGGAGUGACAGAUCCGACUGGUAGGAGUCGGUGCGGGUACCGUGAACAUGUGGAUGUAGCAGUGGAGAUGGUGGUGCGGGUUAUCUGGGCAGAUUGCAGUGCGGUGGUGGCGACAAGAACGGCUUUGACUACGGAUGAGCGGAAGACGACGGACGAAACUAAUACCCAGUAAACUAACAAACAAAAUUGAUACAAACAAAUUGACACUAAUCAAGAACAGAUUAAAUCCCAAUGAUCAAACUCUGAUACCAAGUUGAAUAUCAGAAUGCGCAACGAACAAGAUUAACAAAAUAAUAAGAAUAUUAUUAAAUAAACUGAGAAUGCCGAAACUGCUACAAAACCCUAAGAGAUUACAUUGUGACUAACUUAUUGAUUGAAACUAACUAAUACAAGCACUACUAUAUAUAGUGAAAACUAAAGCAAAAUCCUAAUCCUUUAAGGAUAUAGAAAACUCUAAUAAACCCUAAAUCCUAACCCUUAAAGGAUAUAAAAAAUUCUAAUAUCCUUGUCCCACAAGAAAACCAUAAACAAAAAUAAACUAAUAACUAAUUUUCCAACAAUUUCCUGCUUAUCUGUGGAUUUAAAAUUUUAUAUUUAGAAUCUUUGGAAGGAUUGGAAAACAUAUUACUUGUAUACCUAUUCCUCUGUCCUACCUUUGUCGGUAAAGGAUUAGGUAACGUUUGCUAUCGACUCCUUUAGUGUAGGAAUCUGAUUGCGUUGGAUCUUAAACGUGCCAUUGAGAGGCUGUUUCUUUUGCGAAGGGUGUUUGUUAUAUAUGUACACCUUUUAGUUAUUUCUGUCACCUUUUGAAUGCAUUCAUUUUGUGGUCAUCUUGCAGGCUUUCGGUGAUUUGGAACCCAUCUACACAUUCGAAGGCACUUAUGACAUCAACGCCUUGGUCACCGGUAGGGAAGUCACUGGCAUUGCCAGCUUCAGGCCAGCUGCAUCGACCCAGCGAAGCCGUCUGUAGUGUAACCUCUCUGAAUCUCUACUCCCUCCGCAAGUUUCCUUCAUUAAUAACGAGGUUGUCUGAUGUCAAAAGGGAUGAAGUGAAUUCAUCCAUUGACAACCAAAAAUAAGGAUGCGUUAUAAAUUGUUGUUUAUAGACAUUGUAUCUGUCACAUUCCGGUCCGGGCCCCCACCACAUCCCGGGCUCGACUCCACUGUAACACGAUAUUGUUCGCUUUGGACCCCGACCACGCCCUCACGAUUUUGUUUCUAGGAACUCACACGAGAACUUCCCAGUGGGUCACCCAUUAUGGGAUUGCUCUCACGCGAACUCGCUUAACUUCGAAAUUCCGAUAGAACCCAAAGCCAAUAAACUCCCAAAAAACCUCGUGCUAGGUAGAGAUGAGAAUAUACAUAUAAGGCUUAGAGGAUCUACUCCCCUGAACGAUGUGGGAUGCUACAGUAUCGGUAUAGUUCUGAAAGACAUAAAUGAUCCUAGCAGACCCUCGAAUUAUUCGCCAAAAAAGAGCCAUACCUGGGCUUGUGCGCCGCCGGCAUAACUCCGUGGGCGGACAAGUUUACGUCCAAAUGAGUGACAAAGGAAAUGAACUUUUUGAAACCUUAUGUCCAGAGAUUGCUAUAACUCGGUAGUUGGGUCAAAGGAAAGCUUGCCAGGGGCGUCUGUAUCGACCAGAUUAUCCUACCACAACAGAAGCAAAAGCAAAAUUCCCGCCAAAAGUUGUUGGGUUUUGUAGGAUAAGAUUUUAACGGGUAGCUAAAUGUCAUAAGCAGUUACAUCUUUGACUGUAACCUUCCAAAAUGUCGUCUUCUCCCCCCUCAAGGCCAAGGGAGCCGUUACACGCCCAUGAGUUUCGAAGACAUUUUUAAUCAACAACUGAUGUCUAUGAGAUAAAAAGUUGCUCUUAAGUGCUUGGAGUUUGGUCUAAUUGGCCUCUAAGUGAGAGAAAUGUUUGACUAGAAGUGUCUGAUCAAGUUUUGUUCUCUUGAUCAUCCGAUAACCUUUCCUUAAGUGAUUGGAAUUUGAUCUAAUAGGACUCCAAGCUGGAGAAAAGUACGAGUAGAAGUCUGGUCGAGUCUCGUUCUAUUAACCAUACAUUCCAAAGAUCAUACAUUUCUUAGUAAUAUUCUUGUGAGUCUCGUUUCAUUGACCAUACAUUCCAAAGAUCAUACCUUUUAGUAAUGUUUUUGGUGUCUAAUCGAAAUUUGUAAAGUGUUAUUUUUCUAUGUAACUAAAACAAAUUGCAUCAUCAUUUCCUAUUCACUGCGUUCCAAAUUUAAAUUUAUUAUGUCCCAAGUCAAAACUUUCCAUUAUAUCAAUUAUAUUCAAAAACAUAUUCUUCAUCCAAGCUCCAUUGCAAAAUGCAAUCAUAUUAAAUAUAACAUAAUGCACAUCUCAAAAUUACCAUUACCAUCCAUAAUCAAAAUUAUUAGCCUAACCCACCAUACAUUUUCCUCCAAAAUAUAAACUCAAAAUUCUACCACCUACUACCAAUUGGACUCCAACCACCACCGCCUCCGCUCGUUUCCCGCUGCUUCUCGGCGUCCCUCUCCAACCCCAAACUCCGAAUCUUUAACUGAAACUGCAUCACCGCCGUCAAAAACCUCACUGCCUGCCCCGAGCUCAGCAAAUCCACCAGCUUUGUCGCCAUCGUCGUCCUCAGCAAGUUGGCAUUCUCCACCACGGUCUCCAAUGCCGACUUAAGCGACUUGAUCACCGCGUCGUCCUCCACUAUCUCCCCGUGCCCGGCCCUCCCGUACCGCCGCACCACAUCCAUGAACUGCGGCGCCGCCACGCUCUCGUGAAUCUUGGCGAGCUUGUCGUUGAGCGCGCGCUCCUCGACCCGGGUCGCCUCCCUCAGCCGGGCAAUCCUGACCCGCUGCUGGUCGCUCAAAUCGGGCACCGACUCGGUCACGAGCCGGAAUACGAUACCCGGUUUGUACCCGGCGAUCCAAAGCAGGCUCCUUUCGUAGGAAGUAUACCACGUCGGCGAGAAAACCAGUAAAACAUCCCGCUGUCCAAGUCGCGAUUUCUCGUCGUAAUACUGCUGGUAAUGGAAGAGAACCCGAGACACCAAAUCUCGGAGGUCUUCAUCUCGGGCCUCGUCGAUCGUCUGCUGGGCCGAUAAGAGCUCAUCGAGGAAGUGUUCUUGCCGGACCAGCCAGCCCUCGUAGAAUGCCUCGAAUGUGUUCGACGCAUUGCCGCUGUGAGAGCCGUUUGUCAUAACCAAAACAAAAACAGCAAAGCUUUCUGGGCUUUUAACAGCGACGAAAAACAGAGAGAUGGGUGGGAUUAAAUAGGAGGUGGGAUUCGAAAGGUGGGGGAUUUCUUUUGGGAUUUUGGUUUUUGAUUUGCUUUGUGGGCAAGUAAUGCUAAUGGGUGAGGAUACUUCGAGAGCAAGGUUCAUGCAUUUUGUUUUUUCAGAGAGAGAGAGAGAGAGAGAGAGGAAAACAGAGGAGGUGAGGCUCAGACGGAGACGCGUGUGCAGGUGGACGCCAUUAAAGAG
rnacentral:lncRNA from 1 species